CAGCCGUAAACUAUGCUCGCUAGGUGUCAGGCAUGGCGCGACCGUGUCUGGUGCCGCAGGGAAGCCGUGAAGCGAGCCACCUGGGAAGUACGGCCGCAAGGCUGAAACUUAAAGGAAUUGGCGGGGGAGCACCGCAACGGGAGGAGCGUGCGGUUUAAUUGGAUUCAACGCCGAAAAACUCACCAGCAGCGACUGUUACAUGAAAGUCAGGUUGAUGACCUUACUAGAUUUUCAGAGAGGUGGUGCAUGGCGUAGACGUCU
rnacentral:rRNA from 1 species